GCUCAGAAGAUAACAGUCUGCAGUAGAGUCUUGACGUGCUGACUUCUCUGUCUCUCAAAAACAUUUGAUUCAUAAAAAUAAAACACAAGAGCUUCUCCACACAAAUGGGGACCACUUGGUUUGCAGUUUGGAGUGUUUGGAUCUUCUUGCGGCAGACUGCAGCUGCAGAGGAAUCACCAUCUCAGCCUGGAUUUGAGUCAGAGAUGUUAAUAUUAAAAGUGAGCAAAAAAGCCUUGGAAACUGGCACAGACAAUCAUCAUAUUGGAGACAGUGAUCCAGCUGGUCCUCAGAUCCCCGUCCUGGAUUUCACUAAAUCCAGUCCAGGACUGAAGAGGAGGAAGAGAGACUGGG